rnacentral:misc_RNA from 1 species
CACCCUAUGCUCCCCCAGUCCCCCUAUCUCCCUUCCCAUAUGUCUUAUACCAACGCUUUCAUGAGCCACAUGUACCCUAUGCCAUACAUGAGACCAGAAUAUGCACUCCUAGACAGACAUCAUGCAUUUUCAAAAGUAGUACCGAAACCGUUUUUAUGGAACCAUUUCAUGCAGCGUCCUCUACAUAAGAGAAAGGGAGGGCAAGUUAGGUUCUCCAAUGACCAAACAGUGGAACUUGAGAAAAAGUUCGAAUCCCACAAAUACCUGUCCCCGCCAGAGAGAAAGCGACUGGCAAAGACUCUGCAAUUAACCGAAAGACAGGUGAAAACGUGGUUCCAAAACAGACGUGCAAAAUGGAGAAGACUUAAGCAGGAAUCUCCAACUGGAGAGAAACAGGGUGAAUCCGCGGAAGACAAAACCGGAAGUGACGUCGCCGAAGAUUCCGAGGAAAGAAACAGAUGUACCACGGACGAGGAAGAUUUUGAUAUGGAGGACAGUGAUGAUGAAAUAGAUGUGGAAAACGAAACGACGGAGAAAUAAGGAAAUGUGUUCGUACCGAAUGGUCUGUACAUUAAAUCACAAUGCGACGGAGACGCUUUGCUAAAUAAACUAAACUGGUUCAGGAACAACGAAUGACAAUACGUAAAUGGAGCUGUCCAUUGUGGAAAUCCCUCUGUUUCUUUUAAAAGGAAGUUUUUUUGUGCGCAUGCGUGAGAUACUUUGUUUUAAUAAGAUUACGAAUGCGUGUACCAGUAUGGCGAAUUGAAUGGUGCAAUUUUCACUGACUAUAUUUAUUUUGGUUUCUGGUCUUCCCCUGUUUCAAGUCUUUGUCAAUCUAUGCAAUAAACAAUUAAAGAAGAUCUUGGAACUGGUGGAAAUGUGCAUGUUGAUAAUAAAAUGUCUUUACAU